AGUGAAGGGGAACCAGCAAUACAGACAGCGCGGUCGGGUUUAGGGGCAGCUGGCGGGAGGAUUCGGCAACUCCCUGAACUUGAGGCACCGCGGAGUGUGGGCGCCGGGAAGAGCGAUUCAAACCUUGCGGACUGUGCAGUGGGUCGGCGGCCAGACAGCUAUAACCCGUGGUGGAAGUAGCCAGUGAGUACCCUGCACCAUGGCACUGCCGUUCCGGAAGGACUUGGGGGACUACAAGGACCUGGAUGAGGACGAGCUCCUUGGCAAGCUGUCCGAAUCAGAGCUGAAACAGCUGGAGACUGUCCUGGAUGAUCUUGACCCCGAGGUCGGUGCUAACCGAAGAAGAGAUAGCGACCGUUUGGCUCAGUAGCUGCCGUCUAACCAGCUUGCUUUCUCGUGCCUUUUCCCAUACCCUUUACCCACUUUCUGUCCAGAUGAACUGGCUUUUUGCUUCUUCUCCAGGUCCCCAUAUCUACCUCCACAUCUUAUGACACAGGCAUUUUAAACCAUCAUUAAACAUCUACACAAUUUCUUUUCUCCACUACAAGCUUACCUUUGUGUAAUUGAAAUUAGUAAUAGCUAAUUAGCCCUUUAAUUUAUGCUAAUCUGUUUCUCUUCAGAGUUACCAGACUGGCACCAGUAUAUGUGCCUCUAAGAAUGUUCUUAGUGGCCUAAACCUAAUUAUAAUGGUACUUAAGAAAGGUUGACCAGAUGGUCUGUGUUAGCAUCGGUGGGACAGAUCUGAGGAGCAGAUCUGAACAUGGAUAUUUCUUAACGAUGAUCUUAAGUCCCUGAUAAACCCAUCCUAAGUUACAAAUAUUAUACAUUGAAAUGCAUUUAUUAUACCUAGUCUAUUAACAUCAUAGCUUUACCUAGCCUACCUUAAAUGUGCUCAAAACACUUAAGUAAGCCUACAUUUGUACAAAAUCAUGUAAUGUAAAGCCUAGUUUGUUUAAAAAAAAAAGUAGUUAUUACCUCAUAGAAGUUAACUUAGGUGCUAUCCUGAUAAUGAAAACCAAAAUGAUUGUACGGUGUGCUUUUACAUUAUCUUACAGUGAGCCAUUGUUAGUCAAGGACAGUGCAGAUGUAUACUUGUCUUAAUUUGCCAACUGGUUGUUACUUGUCUCCUAGGCUGCACAAGUAUAGUGUGGAACUAUUUAAUCUUUGAAAUGAGACUCAUGGAGGAGCAGAUAGCAGGGAAGACCCUCAAAGUAGUGGUUAUUUGCAAAGCUUGACCAUCUUUCUUGAAAGCACAUUGGUUUUCUGUAUUCUUGAAGAAUUAAAGUAUUGUGAGCUUUUAGGGAAAGGAGUGGUACUGAGAAUUAAAUUCAGGGCCUCACACAUGCUAAAAAUGUGCUUUAUAAAAUUGUUCUUGUUGCUAAGUGAUAUGUCUAUACACAGGUCAAGUCCUUUGACCAUAAUUACUAUUACAAGAAAAACUUCCCAUACCUAAGUCUGAGAGAUUACUCAAGAUAAUAGAGCUGCCAACAAUAUAUUUGGCAGUAGUCAGUGAAACCAAUUUCAAUCAAAUGGUUUAAGAGCUAGAAAGCAUGUAAGAGACUGUCUAGCCUGGGGUUUUUAACUUGGGCCAGUGACUUUUGUGAGGGGCUGUCAAGUUCAUUAAAGAAUGUUUAACAGCACCUUGUCUUCAGGCUGUGACUAUCCAGGGAGAGAAAAUUGUGGUGGACAUUUUGUAUGCAGUGUCAACCUCCAGACAUGGACCAGAAGGGAAGGGCUCACCUUUUCCUUUUGAGCCUCACCCCCAAAGAGGAGGCUUUACCAUUUUCUCCAUGGUCUAAGACUGUGAGGUCCUUGACAUGGCCCUGCCUGGGUCAAUACACACAUCCACUCAGACUUCACUCCCUUCGAGCUUCCUCCUCUUCCUCUUCCUCUUCUUCCUCCACUCAGGCUUGUGCUCUCCCCUAAGCUCAACGCUGUGCUGUGUGGAAACCAGAGGACUUAGCUCUUCUGUGUGCCCGGGUGCCAUGGGGCAUGCAGAGCAGUGACAGUACUACCACACACUAAUGCUCUUGUGCACACAUACACAGUGAACGGUGUUAUCCAAUAUUUAAAUCAAGUAAAUCGUCUUGAGGUUGGACUGUGCAUGUUUUUAUUUCCAUAAGGACUCUGACCGUUACAAAGGGAUAAGGUAUAGCAGUCUGCAAUUCUUUUGUGAUAGAAUUAGUUUAUGUACAUGUUUACAGGUCAGUUAUUAAGCAUGAAGAAAAUUGUUGUUGCUAUUUAUUGUUUGAACAUUAAACUCACUAUCCCCCUGCUUCAGCUUCCUGAAUGCUAGAAUAUAAGCCAAGCUAGGAAAACUUUUCCCUUAAUAAUCCUUGGAGAAAAACAAAGAUCAACUCUACUCUAAUAUAAAUAUCAAUGUAAAUUUAAAAGUCCUACAUGGAAAAAUAAUAAUCCAUAGAUACCUAAGAAUUAAGGGGUGAAACUAGGCCAAAUGGCUCCUUCCUAUAAUUCCAAUACUUGGAAGGAUGCAGCAAGAAGAAUCAUGGCAAGUUUAUGGCCAGCAUGGUCCAAACUGUGAGUGCCAAGCCAGCCAUGGUGAUAUGUCAAGAGACUGUUUCAAAAGAAAAUAAAUGCUGGUGGCUGUUUCCUGCUAGUGGGAUACUAUCUGAAGAAAAUAUGUAGGUGCCAUUUUUAAUAAUAAUAUAAGUGAAUUCUGCCUACUUAAAAAAUAUAGACUUGUCGGCAGCAAUGACACACACACCCCUUUAAUCCCAGUACUUAGGAGGCAGAGGCAGAUGGGUCUCUGAAUUCAAGGCCACUCUAAUCUACCUAGUAAGUUCCAGGACAGCCAGGGUUACACAAAGAAAUCCUGUCUCACAAAUACACAAAGACUUGUAGGCCAUUAAGAUGGUUCAGUAGUAAAGAUGGUUAUCAGUAAGUCUGACAACCUAUAUAAGAUCCCAGUAGAAGGAAGGAACCAACUAAAAGUUGUUCUCUGAUCUCUACAUACAUGUCAUGGCACAUGUACUCCCUCACACCCAAAAUCAGUACAUCAGUGUUUAAAU
rnacentral:lncRNA from 1 species